UUCCGACUCCGAGUCUUGAGACCCCCUCUGCUCCGGCGCCAGGGACUCGCACUCCGCCUCUGCUCCACCGCCGACGGCGAUUUCGGAUUCACCAUCCUUCUCGGCCGUCCAUGGAUGGAUGAUUUCUCUAAGGAAUUCUCUCUCUGUCUCUCUGUCUCUCUCUCUCUCUCUCCUCAGCAUUUCCACCACCCUCUUGGUCGGCGCCGGAUACUUCGCCUUAGGCUUUCUCCUCGCCCACAAGGAGACCGGGAGCGGCUUUCCUUCCCAAGUUCUUGGAUCAAGCCUUCGCUGAUAGGACUACAGUCGCCUCCUUUCGGCCGACGACGCUGCCGCCUAGUUCGAGUAUAUAGAGCGAACCACGCAGAAGAAGCCCUCCCUUCACGAGAUCAAAACCCUUGCUGAAAUUCUUGAAAGUUUCGACAUGGUUUUGCUUGUUAGAAAUGAUCUGGAAAUGAGACAAGGGAAGAUUGCUGCCCGACGCAGUGAGACUAAUGAGUUUGAUGGACAUCAUGAGCAAGAGAACAGAGAAACUAGCUACUCAAAAGCAUAAAAGACAGCCAUGCAAUGGUGAUUUGUAUAAAGAGCUCCUUCGAAGGUCUGUGCAAGCUUUCAGCAGGUACCUUUGGUUAUUCUCAUAAAUGAAUUAUCUAUCUCAUAGAAAGCUCUUUGAUAGGGAUUCAAAAUAAGUGUGCAGGUACCUUUUGGUACUCUUACAAAUUUAUCAUCAUAUCUCGUAUACCUUGCUUUUGCACCUACAAAAUCAAGAAUUGUCAUAUUAGAACUUCAUAUACUGGUUCUAGAUAUUUUGAUUUUAUCAUGUACAGCUUCUUUUGUCGACAUGAGGGAGAAUCUAGGACAAGAUUGUAACCAUAAUCAAAAGGGAGAUCUUCUGUGGUUACAAGUAUAUUACAGUGACAUGUAGUUUAAUCACAUUGGUUAACAUAGAUCUAUCACUUUCUUCGUCUAGAUUUGCACCUUUUUCUGUCAUCAGAUAGUUCCAGACUCAUAAACCUGUUGCCAUCUCAAGAUGGUAUAUGGUAGUGGGUCAGUAGUAUAAAAGCAAACAGCACAAAGGAUCACCUGGUGGUUGACCCAGUUGCCUAUAACAUUAAGUCUAUUGUCUUCUUAGAUGCACAAAUUUAGUUGCAAUGCUCAAGUAAAAGGGAAACAUCGGUGCCUCUGAAGCAUCAGUGAUGGUGCUUCAUGAUUUGCUUUUUCCUGCUUGCUUAUGGAUCUCUAACAUAUGAUUGAUAACUGACCUUGUUAUCCAAAAAUCCUUCCGGAUUAGAUUACCGUAAUGUCACGGACAAACUUCUAAACAUGAUGUUUGAUGUAAUGCUGAUGUAUAUCCAUGUCUUUUGGUAUGUUCAUGCCUUGUACAGCAUGUAGAGGGACGGUCGAAGUCUUAAUAGUCCCAUUUUAGUUGGAUUGGUGGCCUCUUUAGGCUUGUAAAUAAAGGUUGUGUCAUGUGGACACGUGCGAGAGAUUUUCGGUCUGUAAUGGACUAUUUUACCCUUUGUUGUGCAACUGUUCAGAGCUUGUAAAGUCUAUUUGUAAUUUGCAUUGUCUAUGAAGUAUUUUUCGGAGAUGUUUGCUUGUGGAUCCCGAUUGAGACGUUCUCUCUAACUCGUUCUAUCUUUUGUUGGUCCUAAGGGACAAUGAGAGGCAUCGGAGAGGCUGACCUUUGCGGACGGACACGCAAGGGUGCCGCACGACUUAAACAAAACCAGCUAAGUCCGUGACAGAUGGUAUCAGAGCGGGACAAGCACUCAUAGAAACACUUAGCAUGCAAAUGUGGGAGACCUAGCGGGGCUGCAUUGACGGCAGUCAGCACACGCGCGACCGUUUGGGGGAAAACGGGCAUGGAGAAUAGGGAAAAGGAGUCGCUCGGAGGAGCGGGUAUAUGACAUUGGCAUUCAGAGGAAUGGCCAACCCUUCGCACAAGAGGCACCACGAGAACAGGCAAGCUUGGAAGAAUGUGGAGCGCACAAAGGUUGGGAUGGCUGAGUUUGAGCUACGACUCAACGUUGACAACUAUACUUGAUGGUGCUCAAGGCAAGCGAGGCGCUUGGUAAGAAUGAGACCAUGUAAGGUGGAAUGAGUUGCUCAGCGAUCGAAAGAGUUGUGCAAAGCUCACAAAGGUGAGGGGAAUUGCUAACUCAAAGAAUUCGGUACUCAUGCAUGGGCUUGUAUGCGGACGAUGGAAUGUUCGUGGCCAUCCCAAGGCGACCGAAACUCGGCGCCAUGGAGCAUUAAAACUUUCUCUUCGGCAUGUGAAGGAUACGUCCGUAGGAGGCUGAAGUGUGCAACGAGUUCAGCAUGUUGCUAGGCCUUGAGUGGUGCAGCGGGGGCUGUAUUGACGUGGAGUCGCAAUCUAGCAAGUGCGUUUGCAGGAGGCAGAACAAUGCACAGUUUGUUCAGCAGAUCAUAGUAGUCCAAGGGGAUGGUGGUCUCCGAAACGAAGAGAGAUGUUGCUCCAAUGGGAUAGUUAUCCAGGAGGGAUAAGUCCCAGCUCUCCAGAGGGAGAAUCAUGUGGGACGAACCUCACAUGUUGAGGAGGAGUACCUCAACAAACAACGACUCCACGAAGCUCAAUGGACUGAGCAAGCGGCGAGGAGUCGUCGCAUGAUCUCGCUUAAGAGAAUGCAUUGGUGGAUGCAUUGCGAGAUCAAGUGGGGGAGCGACCCAAAGCAACUUAAAUAAAGGCACACUUGGAGUCGAUGUGGAGAUCGGACAAGGGAGGGCUGACCCGUAGAAUGGUGGGCGCGAGGGCCACCAUCGACUCAAUGCAAAACUAAGGAGCAGAGCAACUUGGGUGUAACUUGGCGAAGUACCCAAGCCGCAUGAAGGGAGCCAACAUAGAAGUUGGAACAUGGAGCGGAGGCAUAGUGCUUUCCUUAGACAGAGGUCAAGGACAUGAACUCUUGUAGAGGCAAGAGUAGAAUCAUGUUGUUCCAUGGGUUCUUCAUUCUGACGGAGCGGACUCAUCUUGCAUGGUGCCAAAGACGAAAGGAGCUUCUGGGCACAUGCACCUUAUCUCGAAGAAGCAUUUGAUGGAGGAACUAAGGCGACUAAAUUUGCGGAGGUGAAAUUGGGUUCAGAAUGUCUUAUCACGGGGCAAGAGGACUCAGAGAUGGGUACUCUUGAAGAAUAUGCCACAGUGUUGCCAUUCAAGUUGCCAUGAAGGAAGCGGUGCGCAGCGGAGAUUGUGCUGGUAGGGGCAGAGGCCUAGGAUCCAGACAAUGGUGCACAAAUUACAGUGAAGUCGGUGGACUUCGGGAGCUACUAAGCGAUGGACUGCCUUAGAGCGGUGCUUCAUCUAGGUGAGACACAAGAGUGGAUGGAUGAAGGUCGAUUGUCAAAGGAGCGAACAAAAUUGAAGGUGGAAGAGACCCUGCGAUGUAUUGGCAGAGGCCACACAUGGAGGGUUCACAAUUCGAGUUUAUUCCACAAGGAUCAGAAUGCAAUGGAGAUGUCACCAGGAGGCGACAUGGUGCAGCGGAUCAUGGUGGAACAGUUCAUGGCAAUGCGAUACACACGACAUAGUCCCGUGAGAGACUAUAUCAUAUGGAGGUAUGAUCAGGAGUUACUGGAAGCUCCACUUUGGUGAACAACACGACGGCAAGAAGGGCUAUGGAUUCAAGGAGUGAAGGCCAUGGUGCCGCAGAGGCGGGUCUUCCGUGCGUGUAUCGAAUUUUGCAUCGGAUGAAAGCCUUGGUCAUCAGCAUAUGGAGGCUGGGUUCCACCAAGGGAAAAGUUCGAAUGCAAGUACCAGUGAGUUCCAUGGGAGGGACUUGAUCAUGUAGAGGUAUAAUUGAAGCAGUUGGAGAGUUGGACUGCUCCAGAGCUCAUAUUCGCUUAAGGGAGCCCGAUAAGUCAGAGGACAAGGUCGAGUAAACGAACAUUGCUACCAAGGAAGCUAAGGAGAACAGAAUCGGUGCAAAUCCUAUAACGUGAUGGCAGAAGCCAUGCUUGGGAGUUGUAGUCUGUCUUUCCAUCGACCAAACAGACUGCUUGGAGAACACAAAGGUGUUGAAGCAGGGGGUCGAAAGGGGUGAGGAAGCAACGACGAGUCCAGAGGGACUUAGCUACCCAAAAUCAAGCAUCAGUUAGAAUGGAGGUGGACUCGGAGGAGUACCACAGAGACAUAUCUACUGAUUGUGAAGAAAAUGGAUGUAGAUGCGAGGCGACGAAUAGUAGGGCCAUGGGCAUGGCAGCGCCAUGGUACUGGAGAGGCGGGAUUUCUGUGAAAGUCAUUGAUCCCUUGCUCUCAUGGAGGGAGAGCGCUUGGUCGUGAAAGGGGCCGAGGAGGUGGAGAAUGCAGAGGCAAUCUCCAAGUACCGAGACAAGACUGAAGGGCAGAGGCCGAAGAACUUCGUAAGACCGGUGUCAAUGUGCUUCUCAUCAAGAUAGCCGAAAGUGAAGGACUUCGGGUAAUGCAAGAGUGCAUAACCAAGGAACAAAGCAGGCAGUACGCGGUGUUGUACCUUUGCUACUCAGUGGAGUAGGCGGCAGGGUUGAUGGAGAAGACGGUACAAUCCCAAAGGCGACCAAACCUAUGAGAGAAUUACUCCAAGUUGGGGUGAAAACUUCUUGCAUUCCAGAAGUUCGAUGGCAUUGAGAAGGUGAAUCACAGUAACUUGUUGAAUCUCGUAUUUUGAUGAUGAAACUACUUGAUAUAUGUUUAUGAUUUAAUCUGCAUUUUGAGUAACGAAGGAUGCUUCGAUCAGGAUGAGAUAAUUAAAGUAGGAAAAUCAUGUUGUGCCGGAGGAACAUGUCAGAAGAUUGGACGUCGGGCCGGUAGAUCGGUCGACGUAUCGACAGAAGGCUUCGGGCCGUGGACUCGGGCAUCGGGCCAAAAAGAGCGGGUAUUGUGCCAAGGAUAUCGGAGUUGCGGAGUCAACUGGCCGAUUGGGCAAAAGGCUGCAGGAAAGGACGAUGCGCCGAAGAAUCGGACGAAGCGUCGAGGGACCAAUGACAUGCCGGACAACUUGGUUAAUUGCUUAGGAUUAAUUGUCUCGAUCGAAGUUUUGUUUUAAGUGUGCAGGAUUAACUACGAUGGAAGAAAGACAUGCAGCAGGAGUUGCGCCGGAGUUAAGACAAUGAUCAUGUUGGGAGUUCGAGAGUUCGACGGAAGUUCAGACAGUCGUCGGAGGUUCUACGGGAACAAAUCUGAGAAGUCCAUGAGCUUGCCAAAGAAGCUCGCCGGAACUCGCCAAGUGGAUCGUCGCAAGUCCAGGAGUUUGCCGGAAGUCCGCAGGAGCAUCACCGAGGGUUCAUAGGAUGAUCGACGGAAGUUCGCCGGAAGCUCACCGGAAGAAGCGAUCGACGCAUCGGAGCAAGUUGCAGUAAAUGUCUUAGGAAAAAUCAUAGUUAGCACAAUGAUUAAGUUGGAAAUGGGAGGUGAUCCCAUUAACUUAAUCUUGGGGCAAUUGGGCCCCUGAAAAACCUAAAUUGGGCCGAAUGGAUCAACCCAUUCGGACCCUGAUUUCUGGCGGGAGGUGCAACUGCCCAAGCCAGGAGGUAGCACCGCCUAAGCUAAGUCUCCGAGCGAGACCGAGCGGUGCAACCGCCCUAGCCAGGAGGUAGCACCACCUGGGCUCAGUCUCCGAGCGAGACUGGGCGGU